AGUUUGGUGUUCAGGAGUAAGAAGGCAGAAUAAAGUUUCAAGUCUAUUAAAAAUUUCUCCUUUCCAGGCUCCAUGGAAAAGGUGGAGACCUGAACCAGGAGUAUCUUAUUUUUUUCUAUACGGAAACCCUUGAGAAUGAAGACACCGGAGGAAUAUAUCAAACCUUGCUGUGCCAAGGCCCCGUGGAACUCACAAGGGGGAAGAAAAGGAACAAAAGGCAUCUAUCCUUAUUUAAUGAUGUUUUGGUUGUGUCUAAUAACCUGAAUAAGAAAAGGUUUAAGAUAAACUGCAUCAUCCCACUGAAUUACCUGUGCACAGUGGAUGAUGUGGACUUAGACAACAUGAAUGAAAUGUGUACUUGCAAGACCAUUUACCUGUUUUGGCCCACUGGAAAUUUUUUGGCCACCUUUUGUUCAAAAGAACAGAAAGAUAAAUGGUUCUAUUUUCUCAAAAGAUCCAUUGAUGAAGCCAAGAGGAUAUCAAGAAAAAUUUCUCAUUGGAGAUAUUCACGGAAGACAUCCCAAGCUGUGACAGUCCUUUAUGUGUAACAGAAACAAACAUCAAUGCAGUGAAUGAUAUCAUUGAGAAGUUACUACCAAUGAUGCAAAUGCCUAACCCUGGAAAUUGUAUAUAAAGAAAAUCACUAGAGUCUUCAAGACACGCCUGUCAGAUUAUUUGUGAUGGCUGGUUCUUUUUGGCUCUCAGAACAGUGAAGCUUACCAAAUGUGGUUCUGUCCUGGCCAUGAGGAAGCUUCAAGAGCACUCCAAGGCUAUGAGUAUUUACAUGAUAUUAUAAUUACCAACCUUCAAAAUACCUUCAGUAGAUCAAACUCAAGAUUUUUCACUUGCCUGGGUUGUUUGUGAAAGACCUAAACUCGGAUGCACAGGGGCAAUUCAUCUUAAAGCCUGCAGACUCAGCUACAAGCCAGCAGCAAAGACAUUCUAUCCCUCAUAGAAGAAAAAGGACCCAAGACUGAGGGCAUAUUCAUGAUAUCUCCAAAUGUGAAAUCAUGCAAAAUCCUAAAGGACAAAUUUGAAUCUGGGGAAGAGGUGGAUAUAAAAAAGUACUCAGUACAUGAAAUCGCCUGGAUCUUAAAGUCUUACAGAAAAACUCCCAGGAUCCAAUGCUGCUCUUCUCCAACAACUUUUUCAAAUAUUACACAAAAUUGCAACAAAUUCUUCCAUUAACCAAAUGCCAUCGUACAUGGAUAGCACCAUGUAUCUUAUGUCUUCCUAGCUAUCAUAAUGAAGUACUGGCAAAUGAUAUUACCAAAAAAGAUUUCUCUGGUAACUUUCAUGAUUGAAAACUCUCCCAAAAUUUUCGGAAUAGACAUGGUUUCAGUUUCGUAUGAAACGUCACUUUUUCAUCCACAAGGAGCAAAGGCCUCAUGUUCCCAAAAUACUCCACCUAACAUCGGGAACAUCCAGGAAACAGAAUAUGGACUCAGCAGCUGUUCCAAUGGGAGGACACGCAUGCCUGGUCAUGAUGCACUGGCGAUAAGUCCAGCUGCUUCUCUUUCCUAUGAGGGCAUUAUAGCCCCGGCUUGCCUCCCAGGUGAAACCUGGUCCAUGUGAGACGUGGGUGGGCUUCCAGCUUCCAACAGUCUGGUGCUUGGGCCAGGGACUUGAAGAAUGGCCGAAAAAUGCUGGAGGAAUGCUGCUUGGUGUGGAGCUCCACGGGAAGAAAAAGAAAAGGAUCGUAUUGGGCACCGAAGCAACAGCUCCAGCUUGCCUCCCAGGUGAAACCUGGUCCAUGUGAGCAGUGGUCGGCUUCCAACAAAGCGAAACUUCACCUGUGUGUUAUAGAUUAUUUCCUAUUGUAAGAAGUUGCUUCAAAAUUUUGAGAAACAAGAAGGCAAUGAGUAUACAAACCAACAAACAUCUUCUCAAACUCCUCCAGAAUCAAUAAAAAAAAAAAAACCAAAUAUUUUGUACAAUUCCAGCCAUUGUUUGCUCGGACAAGAUGCUACUUCAUAUACUUGACAUGUUAUCCAUGAUUGCACAAAAGGGACAAAAUUCAGAUCUAAUAUUCUGAUUCUUCUCGAGAGAAUCACACUGGUCCCUGAGGGAUAAGAUUUACACUGAACAGCUGAUUAACUGGAAUGAAGAAUCUGUGCUAAUAUUAGCUUCUGUUUUUAAGGAUUAUAUUAAAAAUAUAAAAGGAAGCUUGCUUUGUUCAGGCUUAUAUGAAAAUUGGGUUAGCGUACUUGAUGAAGAUUCUCUACUUGCAAAAAUGUCUGCUAUACAAAGAUGUCUAUUAUACAAAUCGUGAUUGACAACUGUGGAGAUAUAUUUGGUGACAAUGACCAUAUAAUUUGUAAUGAUAAUCAGAAGAGGUCAGAUGACAUAAAGACUCUACUAAAUUCUGCUGCAGGAGAUAGUGAAACUUCAACAUAUAAAUUUCCACAACAGAAACUUCCUCAUGACUAAAGAAGUCUCCUCCCUACCCCUUCCCCUCUCUUCUAGAUCCAUUCCUUCUCCACCCCCAUCCCCCACAAAAAAGAGCAUGCUGCACAGGGAAAUCAACUGUGAUGGUUACUCUCAGUAGUCAACUUGACUACAUCUGGAAUGAAUCUAGAAAAAGAGGACACACCUGUGACUCAGAUCUUGAGCCUGAAAGACACAAGCUUUUGAUACAGAUUUUGCGGUGGCAUUACAUUUACUCGGAAUCUCGACUGACAUACACCUUUAAUCCAGAUCUUGAGGCACACCUUUAAUCUGGGCCACUCCUUCUACUGGAGACCAACAUACUAGAAGAAGGAAGUCACCUUCUUCUUUACCUGCUUGCACUCACUUUGCCAGCAUAUCCAUUGGAGCCUACUUCUUCAGAAUUACAGUUUAUACAAAGGCCAGUUGAGACACCCAGCCUCAGCAAAGAAAUGUAUGUAUACAUAUAAGAAUGAGUAUAUUCUUUUGUGAAUAUUUUUAUAUGAUGUAUCUACAUUUAUGUUAAAUGUAUGUCUUUAACUCUAAGCCUUUACCACACAUGCUUUUAUGUGUGAAUAAUAUUGCACAUAUUCAUUCCCCCUUUUACCUAUAACCCCCAACUCAUAAAUGAGAGUAACUCCAACUGUGUUACUUAGUAAUGUAACUAUUCAAUCGUUACAUACAUGCGUGCAAUAUUAAAAUUUUAAC
ensembl:lincRNA Gm6639 predicted gene 6639